rnacentral:tRNA from 1 species
GGCGGCAUGGCCAAGCGGUAAGGCAGGGGACUGCAAAUCCUUUAUCC